AGGUAGGGUGGCUGAAUUAGGCGGCGGAUUGUAGCUCCGAUGAUAGAGGUGAAUCUCUCCUUACCA
rnacentral:tRNA from 1 species